rnacentral:rRNA from 1 species
UGGGGAAUAUUGGACAAUGGGGGGAACCCUGAUCCAGCCAUGCCGCGUGUGUGAAGAAGGCCUUAUGGUUGUAAAGCACUUUAAGCGAGGAGGAGGGUACUGGUAUUAAUACUACCAGCUACUGGACGUUACUCGCAGAAUAAGCACCGGCUAACUCUGUGCCAGCAGCCGCGGUAAUACAGAGGGUGCAAGCGUUAAUCGGAAUUACUGGGCGUAAAGCGCGCGUAGGUGGUUCGUUAAGUUGAAUGUGAAAGCCCCGGGCUCAACCUGGGAACUGCAUCCAAAACUGGCGAGCUAGAGUAGGGCAGAGGGGGGUGGAAUUUCCUGUGUAGCGGUGAAAUGCGUGGAUAUAGGAAGGAACACCAGUGGCGAAGGCGACCACCUGGGCUCAUACUGACACUGAGGUGCGAAAGCGUGGGGAGCAAACAGG